rnacentral:rRNA from 1 species
UUUACUAGAAUAUAGUUAUCCUACUUGGAUAACUGUGGCAAUUCUAGAGCUAAUACAUGCAAAAAAGCUCCGCCCGCAAGGAACGAGCGCAUUUAUUAGAAUAAAAACCAAUCGGGUUUCGGCCCGUAAUUUGGUGAAUCUGAAUAACUUUGCCAAUCGCACAGUCCUAGUACUGGCGAUGUAUCUUUCAAGUGUCUGCCUUAUCAACUUUCGAUGGUAGGUUAUACGCCUACCAUGGUAGUAACGGGUAACGGAGAAUAAGGGUUCGACUCCGGAGAGGGAGCCUGAGAAACGGCUACCACAUCCAAGGAAGGCAGCAGGCGCGCAAAUUACCCACUUCCAGAACGGAGAGGUAGUGACGAAAAAUAACGAGACAGUCCUCUUCGAGGUCUGUCAUCGGAAUGGGUACAAUUUAAAUCCUUUAACGAGGAUCUAUUGGAGGGCAAGUCUGGUGCCAGCAGCCGCGGUAAUUCCAGCUCCAAUAGCGUAUAUUAAAGUUGUUGCGGUUAAAACGCUCGUAGUUGGAUCUGCGGCCUCGGAGAACGGUCCCCCGAAAGGGUGGUCACUGUCUCUCCUAGCCUAAAUUCAAGUCGUCUCUAGGUGCUCUUUACCGAGUGCUUAGAGUGACUAGAACGUUUACUUUGAAAAAAUUAGAGUGCUUAAAGCAGGCGAAAUAGCCUGAAUAAGGUGCAUGGAAUAAUGGAAUAGGACCUCGGUUCUAUUUUGUUGGUUUUCGGAACCUGAGGUAAUGAUUAAGAGGAACAGACGGGGGCAU